AACGUAGGUGGCGAGCGUUAUCCGGAAUUACUGGGCGUAAAGCGUGUGCAGGCGGGCUGACAAGUGGUGUAUGAAAUAUCCCGGCUUAACCGGGAGGGGUUAUGCCAGACUGUCAGUCUUGAGUGCAGGAGAGGAACGCGGAAUUCCAGGUGUAGCGGUGAAAUGCGUAGAUAUCUGGAGGAACACCGGUGGCGAAGGCGGCGUUCUGGACUGCAACUGACACUGAGGAACGAAAGCCAGGGGAGCAAACGGG
rnacentral:rRNA from 1 species